rnacentral:tRNA from 1 species
GGGGAUUUAGCUCAGUGGCAGAAGCACCUACCUGGCAAGUACGAGAUGGUGAGUUCAAUUCCCA